GGACUCUGGCUGGAAUUAUCAAGUAAGAGUUGCACUUGUCUUUAGGAGCUUAGAUAUCAAGAAACUUAAACCCUGAGUUGUCAGUGGCCCUGUUGGUGGAGAGGAUCUGCCUUCAAUGUACAGCAAUCCAGAGGAAAGCUGAGUCACCAGAUGACUCUGAAACCCAUUAAGGAAGAAACUGCAUCUGUCUUGCUCACCAUUGUUCACCUAGCAUAGCACCUGUCACAAGUCAGCUGUAUUACAGAUAACUGGUGACAGUGUUCUGGAGGGAAGACCGCACUGCUCCAUUUGAACACCUCGUCGACUCACUCACUGGUUUGAAAUAUGUCAACACUCAGAGAAUGAAAACAAGAGAUAUGAAAAUAAGCUUAUGAAAAACUUGCCUCUGAUGUUACAAACUAAAGGAAUGUGAGAUUGGAACAAGGAACCUAUAAUUUUUACCCAGUUAAAGGAGAAAAGCGCCUCUUCUUUGCUCCCAGUCAGCACCCUCUUGUACGGCGGGGACCCAGCUGCAAUGCAACACGCCCUCUCCAUCCUCUUCUCCUUUGCUGAGUGAACUUGUUCCAGAUCUGCACAGGGGCCUGAGGCAGGCAGAGAGUGGUAACACCUUUCUCUGCAGUCACCUUCAGAUCUUGAUAUCCUGCACCUUCUGUUAUCUUGUGAAUCAAAAGACCCAAAGUGCAAUUGUGCCAGCUUUCAACCCCACUUUGCCCCUUUGCCAGUUAUAAGAGUUAGAGCCACACAUUGGCAGGAGUUCAAGGAAAGGCUGAAAAUGCUUCUUAGGAACUAUUUUAAUCCCAAACAGUUACCGUUUGGAGAACAGGUUGAAACAUAUGUAAUAUAGGCACCAAAAUGUAGGCGAUUAUCUCCAAAGGGCAAGAGGGGACAGAGAAUAAAGCCCAUGCUGCCCUGAGGUCGAGGAUAAAGAACUGAAGAAAUGCCUUCUUUGGUUUUCCAAGGGUCACAAUGUCAGCUGAAGAAUGAAAUGAUAAGACAAACGGAACAGCUUGAUAACACCCAAAUGGGUAUAUUUAUUCGCACAGUUCAAGCCUGACUAUUGGAGCUCUUUUCCUGUCCACUGACAGCCAUUCUGAGCAUUGUAACAAGAUCCAGAACAUGAUGUCUAGAAACCCUUAAUGAUACUCUGUACAAAGUGGAUGAACGGUGACAAGGCAGAGGAAAGUGUGUGCAGAAGUUUUGGCUCAAAAAUCCUGUGACUUUCAGAGGUUCUGUGUGUUGGCUUCAAUCUUUGAACAACACAAAGACAAUAGCUCCCACCUAAUGUUUCUGAAGAUAGAAAUGGAUGUCCCAGAGUUAGAAUUGCCUUCUGUUUAAAUAAUGCCAUUUGUGAAGUCCUUGCACUAUUGCAUGGGACAUGAUGAGAUGCCUCUGGUCUUCCCUUCCAUAAUUUCAUCCUGCCAUUUAACCAUGUGUAUUCACACUCAUUCACAUACACACACACUCCUUGAUAAAGCACUGUAUGUUGUGGUAUUGCUAUAAGGCAGUAUUAAUUAUUAUUCAAUAUCUACCAAGCAGCUAUUCUACAAUGAGAUUUUCAGAAAGGAAAUACACUGUCAAAAGUAUAACACCACCUUGUAGGAUCAGUUAAGGGAAAAAUAUGGGCUAAGGAGGCGGAAAUCCUUCUUUAGACUCACUGAGAAAUUAUGUCAAGGCUUGAAAAGUUCCAUAGGCUUUUGCAGCAUUCAAAUCUUUCCUUUAGGACCAACUUCUAUGGAAAUACACUAUGCCUGGAAUGUGCCCUGUCAAAGCCAGACAUAUUCUUUUAAUUGAAUCUUUCUCUAAGAGUAGUGAAUUUUUUUUUCAUCUGUAAUUUGCUUUUUAUGUGAAGAGAGAGACGUUCUGUUUCUCUUCUUUGGGGGGUUGUCAUAUUCCUGUAAAAACAAUCAAUGUUGGACCAUUUAUCUCUUGCUUCAUCAAACUGUGUUGUAGGAUGUAAGUAUGUGUAUGUUCACAAUAUAGAUUUUUCAUUUCUGUGUUUUACAGUCAUAUUAUUGGCGAGUGGCUCUCAUUUAUUUUGCAGAACAUUUCUAAGCCGAUGACGACCUUUAGUCUUUGUUUGUUAACUGUGUCCUGCCUGUCUACCUUUUUAUGCAAUAAUUGCUUUCAGGGAAUAAAACAGAAAUGGGGUAUUGCUUUGUUUAAUAUUUUUCAAAUCAAAUACACCAUAGCACAACCAUCUGUGAAAAUACAUUUCAGCUUUCAUCAAAUUCUGCCAUGUUUUUUUUGAGGAUUAAUAAUCCCUUCAUGUGGGUAUGCUUCUAUGGCUGAU
rnacentral:lncRNA from 1 species